rnacentral:misc_RNA from 1 species
UACCUAGAGUUGUAGGCUUUGCCUGCUAUCUCUUACCCAUGUCUUUUGAGUACCUUACGUUUCCUCGGUGGGUUCGCCCACCGAUUGGACAAAUUUAAACCCUUUGCAGUUGAAAUCAGCGUCUGAAAAAACUUAAUAGUUACAACUUUCAACAACGGAUCUCUUGGUUCUGGCAUCG